UGGGGAAUAUUGGACAAUGGGCGAAAGCCUGAUCCAGCAAUACCGCGUGUGUGAAGAAGGCCUGAGGGUUGUAAAGCACUUUCAAUAGGGAGGAAAAAGGGUUGGUUAAUACCCGGCCUAUUGACAUUACCUAUAGAAGAAGCACCGGCUAACUCCGUGCCAGCAGCCGCGGUAAUACGGAGGGUGCGAGCGUUAAUCGGAAUUACUGGGCGUAAAGCGUGCGUAGGCGGCCUGUUAAGUCAGAUGUGAAAGCCCCGGGCUUAACCUGGGAACGGCAUUUGAGACUGGCAAGCUAGAGUUGAGUAGAGGGGAGUGGAAUUUCAGGUGUAGCGGUGAAAUGCGUAGAUAUCUGAAGGAACACCAGUGGCGAAGGCGGCUCCCUGGACUCAAACUGACGCUG
rnacentral:rRNA from 1 species